GUUCAAUUCCUCCUUUGACCUGGUACAUUUAAAAUGAUUACAUAUAUUGAUCAUGGUUUUCAGAUAAUACAAGUAAAUCCAGGUUAUAUUACUAUUGUUAUGUUAAUGAGAUGGUGAUUGGCUAUACAAUGGCAUAAUAAUUGCUAUACAUUAGAUCUAGGGAGCCAGAAUUUAUAUUAAAGUUAGUAUUUUAGUUUUUCCUAGACCAAAGCUAAGUAGCAGAUGUUUGCUUAAAAAAAAAAAGAAAAAAAAAAAAACCCAGACAAAUCCCUUUCUUUAUAUUACUUACAUGACUUUGGAUGUUUGUCAUUUGGUUUCUUUAUCAUAUUUGUGAGACCUUUCAACAUUGUCAUUUUAAUGUAAUUUUUUAACUUAAAAAUGAUGGGCUGGGGAUAUAGCUCAGUUGGUAACUUGCUUGCCUCGCAUGCACAAGGCCCUGGGUUCAAUCCCCAGUGCUACCAAAAAAUAAAUAAAUAUGAUGGAAAAAAUGUGCUUGGAUAAAUAAACACUAAAUACAUGCUAUUGAUUCUUGUGGGCAUUUAAAAACAGCUCUUCUUAACAGUGUAAUUUUAUGUAAGUAAAAAACAUGAUUAUAAAUUUUUUGCUGUUAAAUUAUUUUGUUUCACACUUUUAUAAAAAAUUAUCUAAAGUCAGUCUAAAAUGUUACUGAUUGACUGCUAGCCAGAUGCUCACUUGGCCGCUGAAAAAGAAGCUGAACGAUUGGAAGAACUGCAAAAGCAGGCAGCACAAGAGAGAAUGGAGCAGUUUGAAAAGGCACAUGUACGGGGUUUCCAAGCCAUGAAAANUCUUCUCUCUCU
rnacentral:lncRNA from 1 species